AACUGAGCAGCCUCAUUUGCAUGGGCUUCAACCGUGACGCUUUGCGAAGAGGAAGGACUCACGACUCUCCCGUGAUGAGUGCCCCGUUUCGCUUCCUGCUGAAGUCCCGAAGCUAGCAGCUCCUCUUGAGGUGCAGGCAGCAUUCAGAAUGACUGAAGACCGUUGGUUGGUGGCAGCCAGAAAAGUCAAUGCAAUCUGUAAAUGCAUUAAACAGAGGGAUACAAUCAAGAUCAAGUCAGAGAUACUUUGCUUGUUGGAAAGUUGCCAAUGGGGAUCAAACGAUUCUGGGACACUGUGACCGUCAUAAACACGAGUCAGUUGUCAAGGGUCUGAGUUUAGACCAUGUCAAGGGUCUGAGUUUAGACCAUGCUGCCAUGGUCGUAAGGGUGAAAAAUGAUCACAAGUCACUUUUUUCAGUGCUGUUGUAACUUUGGUCACUAAACGAAUGGUUGUAAGUUGAGAACUCUACCUGUAUUGAAAAGGCUCCAAAAAUGUCUGC